rnacentral:rRNA from 1 species
UGCCAGCCGCCGCGGUAAUACGGAGGGUUCAAGCGUUAUCCGGAUUCAUUGGGUUUAAAGGGUACGUAGGCGGAUUAAUAAGUCAGUGGUGAAAUCCCGAAGCUCAACUUCGGAACUGCCAUUGAAACUGUUGAUCUUGAAUUUGGUUGAAGUGGGCGGAAUAUGACAUGUAGCGGUGAAAUGCAUAGAUAUGUCAUGGAACACCGAUAGUGAAGACAGCUCACUAAACCAAUAUUGACGCUGAGGUACGAAAGCAUGGGUAGCGAACAGGAUUAGAUA